UCACAAGACUGACUUGGGUUUAGAGGGUAUAGAAUUUAGUCCAACAGUUCCGUUGCCUGUCAGACCACCAUGGUUGUUUGUGGAACCUAUAGUGGAUUUGCAGUUAUUAAAUAAAAACUUAAAGAGUAGAGUAGAGGUGGAUUUAUGUAGAGUUUUUUGUGAACAUCUGAACGAGGAGUUUAAUGGGUAUCUGGAUAUUUACACAGAUGGGUCUAAAGAUCCUAAGUCUGGGCAAACAGGGGCUGCAUUCAGAAUACCAAAAAUGGAGUUAAGCUCCGGUUCACACUCCAGUACAGUAGGUGGCGGUAAUGCACCAUUGAAGUUGGAUGCCAACCGCCGUUAAACAUCAAAGAAGAAGAAGACAUCACAAGACUGCGUAGCGCUCCUGCUUCUGUUGUGAUUCAGCUGAAGAAAGG